CCGGAAUUAUUGGGCGUAAAGGGCUCGCAGGCGGUUUCUUAAGUCUGAUGUGAAAGCCCCCGGCUCAACCGGGGAGGGUCAUUGGAAACUGGGAAACUUGAGUGCAGAAGAGGAGAGUGGAAUUCCACGUGUAGCGGUGAAAUGCGUAGAGAUGUGGAGGAACACCAGUGGCGAAGGCGACUCUCUGGUCUGUAACUGACGCUGAGGAGCGAAAGCGUGGGGAGCGAACAGGAUUAGAUACCCUGGUAGUCCACGCCGUAAACGAUGAGUGCUAAGUGUUAGGGGGUUUCCGCCCCUUAGUGCUGCAGCUAACGCAUUAAGCACUCCGCCUGGGGAGUACGGUCGCAAGACUGAAACUCAAAGGAAUUGACGG
rnacentral:rRNA from 1 species